rnacentral:rRNA from 1 species
GACGAACGCUGGCGGCGUGCCUAAUACAUGCAAGUCGAGCGGAGCUUAUCCUUCGGGGUAAGCUUAGCGGCGGACGGGUGAGUAACACGUAGGCAACCUGCCCCUUCGCCUGGGAUAACUACCGGAAACGGUAGCUAAUACCGGAUAAUUUCUUUUUUCUCCCGAAGAGAGAAUGAAAGGCGGAGCAAUCUGCUCUUAAGGGAUGGGCCUGCGGCGCAUUAGCUAGUUGGUGGGGUAACGGCCCACCAAGGCGACGAUGCGUAGCUGACCUGAGAGGGUGAACGGCCACACUGGGACUGAGACACGGCCCAGACUCCUACGGGAGGCAGCAGUAGGGAAUCUUCCGCAAUGGGCGAAAGCCUGACGGAGCAACGCCGCGUGAGUGAUGAAGGUUUUCGGAUCGUAAAGCUCUGUUGCCAGGGAAGAACGUCCGGUAGAGUAACUGCUACCGGAGUGACGGUACCUGAGAAGAAAGCCCCGGCUAACUACGUGCCAGCAGCCGCAGUAA